AGUAUAAUCAUCUAUCUCACAUCGUGCAUGCAUUUUAGUACUUCUCUUUCUUUCUUCUCUUUUUCUUCUUAUUCUGCAUGCACACGCUUUCUUAUUUUUUUUCUCUCUUAAUUCCACACCUUCUCUUUCUUUCUUCCCAUUUUCUCUCCGGUAACCGUUUUUCAUUUCCUUAUUAACUUCUUCUCCUCCGUUCAAACUCUCUCCUCCACGCUGUAACACAAAUGCAAAUCCAUAACCACCGCAACUCGGCCGCCGCCGCCGCCGCCGCCACCGCUUUAUCUCCAUAACCAACGCUGACCGGAACUUCCCAUCAAACUUCUGGUGACGCUAGCUUCGUUGUUCUGUUUGAUUCCGGUUGUGGAAUUGAAGUUGAAAAUGGAGUCAAAGUGUUGCAUGAACGUUGUUUGUGGAACCUCUACGUCGAUUCGGUGGCGGAAAGGUUGGAUUCUUCGAUCCGGUGAAUUCGCCGAUCUAUGUGAUAAAUGCGGUUCUGCUUAUGAGCAAUCAGCGUUUUGCGAUAUGUUCCAUGCAAAAGAAUCUGGUUGGAGAGAGUGUACUUCAUGCGGCAAGCGUCUCCAUUGUGGAUGUGUUGCUUCAAAGUCUCAGCUUGAAAUACUUGACACUGGUGGUGUAAGCUGUAUUACCUGUGCAAGUACUUCAGGACUUCAACCUAUUGCUAGUAAUGAAAAUCCUAAUGAAUCUGGAACAGCAAAAGUAAAUAAUGUCAGUGCCCAGCAGUGUAUAACUCUGGCUAACCAAUUAAAUGUGAGGGGUAUGCAAGUUGGGAAUUAUGCAGAAAAUGACGGGAUGAGGUGCUGGCUCAAACCUCACAAUGUUGAUUUUGAUGGACUUUCUAGAGAAAUCAAACCUGAAGUUUUACCCUCUGUUGGAGAAUUUGGAAGCACUUUGAUGUCACAAUUUCAUCGUGAGUCAAAUGGUUCAUCUAGGACUGGCAAAGCAGAGAAUGACAUGCAAGAUAUAUAUGAAUCACUGGCACAAACAAAUUUGAGUAUGACCCUUGCCGCUCCUUUGCCAAAUCCCUUUCAUAAUGUCCUUGUUGAUGAAAGGGAACAAAGCAAAAUGUCACCUCCACUUCUAUUGGCGUCUAGAUCUCGUCAUCUUUUACCUAAACCUCCUAGGCCAGCUCUAUCUCCAGGCUUAGAAGGAAACACAGGCAUGGUUUCCCAGAUUCGUAUAGCAAGGCCUCCUGCCGAAGGACGGGGAAGGAAUCAGUUGCUUCCGCGAUAUUGGCCCAGAAUUACAGAUCAAGAGUUGCAGCAAAUAUCGGGAGAUUCAAAUUCCACCAUUGUGCCACUCUUUGAAAAGAUGCUUAGUGCAAGUGAUGCUGGUCGAAUUGGUCGCUUGGUUCUUCCAAAAGCAUGUGCUGAAGCAUAUUUCCCUCCUAUCUCUCAACCUGAGGGCCUUCCUUUGCGUAUCCAAGAUGUGAAAGGAAAAGAAUGGAUGUUUCAAUUUAGAUUUUGGCCAAAUAAUAAUAGCAGGAUGUAUGUUUUAGAAGGGGUAACCCCUUGUAUUCAGUCUAUGCAACUGCAAGCUGGCGAUACUGUAACAUUUAGCCGUAUGGACCCUGAGGGGAAACUUAUAAUGGGUUUCAGGAAGGCAACGAAUUCUGCUUCUCAGGAAACUUUUCCGUCUAAUAUGCCCAAUGGUUCUCAUUCAAGUGAAACUUCCUAUUCUGGUGUUUAUGAGAAUAUACCUAUAUUAAGUGGUUAUUCUGGCCUUCUUCAGUCUCAAAAGGGUUGUUCAGAAACCCACCUAAAUGCGCUCUCUAAAAAGUGGAACUCAGUUGGUGCUGACAUGGAUUGGCAUAAUGUUGAAAUGCCUGAAAGCAGGAAAAGAGAUGUGUUGUCUUUACCACCCGUGCUGGUUCCUGAGAAGAAAAGAACUCGAAAUAUUGGGUCAAAAAGUAAGAGGUUGCUUAUUGACAGCGAGGAUGCACUGGAGCUGAAACUUACUUGGGAAGAGGCUCAGGAUUUACUUCGUCCACCUCCAGAAGUUAAGCCAAGUGUUGUCAUGAUCGAGGAUCACUUAUUUGAAGAGUAUGAAGAGCCUCCUGUGUUUGGAAAGAAGAGUAUAUUUGUGGUACGAUCUACUGGGAUAAGUGAGCAGUGGACACAGUGUGAUAGUUGCCAAAAAUGGCGGAAGUUACCGGUUGAUGUACUUAUUCCCCCCAAGUGGACAUGUAUGGAAAAUUUUUGGGAUCAAAGCAGGUGUUCAUGUGCUGCUCCCAAUGAAUUGAAUCCGAUGGAACUGGAUAAUCUUUUGAGAAUGAACAAUGAAUUCAAGAAACAAAGACAAGCAGCGGCAAGCCAGAGGCCAGCUCUGGAUCGUGAAUCUUCUGGUCUUGAUGCUUUAGCAAAUGCUGCGGUGCUUGGAGAUGAUGCAAGUGACUCUGGCAGGACACCAGUGUUGACCACUACAAGACACCCUCGUCAUAGGCCUGGGUGCUCCUGUAUUGUCUGUAUCCAGCCACCAAGUGGGAAGGGCAAACACAAACCUACAUGCACGUGUAAUGUCUGCAUGACAGUUAAACGCCGGUUUAAAACCCUGAUGAUGCGAAAGAAGAAGCGUCAAUCUGAGCGGGAAGCUGAGAUUGCUCAGAAAAAUCAGCAAUCAUGGAGGACCAAGGAUGAAUCCGAAGUAGACAGCACCUCUCGACAUUUAACUCCAGUUGAUGGUUCAGAGAAUGAAGCAAGGGUGCCAAAUGAAUUAGAUUCAAGGAACGAAGACCAAGUGGCUGAUGCUGCCAAGGGACAAUUAGACUUGAAUUGCCAGCCGGAUCGGGAAGACAUGCAAGCCGGACCAAACACUCUGAGCAUGAUGACUCUUCUUGAAGAAGCGAAUCUCCCGUUGGAGACAUACCUGAAGCAAAAUGGUCUUUCUAGCUUGAUAUCAGAGCAGCAAACAAAUUCAGCUUCAAAUGUGCAGGCACAUACAACCAAUGAGAGUGAGGGAAGACAAAAUGAGGAUUGCUGUACUGCUUCUGCAGUUCAUGAACAGGAAGACAGUCCUGAAGAGAACAGUGGGCAAGACAGAGACCAAAACAAUUCACUUUCUUGAAGUCCUGCCAAUCUUCAUUUUUUUCCCUUUUACUUUACUCUGAAGUCAUUAACUAUACGAGAACUCUUGCGUAAGCUAUAAAAUUACAGGAAGUUUGAUUGGGAUGUCUAUAUAGUUAUUUUUCUGUCCUAACUGAAUUUUUCCACUAUACAUAUAAUAGCUAUAAAUGCUGAAGCUUGUGUUUUAGGUUGUACACCAGUGUGAGGCAAGGAGUUGAAGUAAAGCAUCUUCAUGCCGUGAAAAAUUGACAUCGUAGAAAGUCAAUGUGCUACUAAGCUUUCUUGGAUACUGAGGAUGAUGACUUUCUAUUUUCCUGCAUCGUGAGCUCCUCAGUAGAAACAUUGGAGGAACGAGCAAGAGGAGAAGGAAGCACUGUCGACACAGUUGACCAUCUUGCAGGAUGUGAAACAGAUGUUCUGGCUUUUGAUGGUAGUAAUGGAGUUGAGAAACUCAGUCUAGGUGCAUUAAUGAUACCAUCAACACUUGGUGAUCUCGACGCAUGUCUUCCAUACAUGGCUGCUGGCUCUUGCAGUGGGAUCCAACUAGGGUACUCCGUAUCUACUAUGAUUUUGAGACUCUCAACAAUGGCUCUCAUGGUUGGUCUUUCUGAUGGCUCCAUUUGAAGGCAUCGUUGUACAAUUCCAGCUACUUUUCUUGCUGCUUUAGGCGGAAACUGACCUUUCAGUUGUGAAUCCAUGAUCACCGACAACUGGAAAUCGUCGGCUAGGUAAGGCCGACACCACUUGACUAAGUUCCUCUCUUUCUUCGGGAGAUGCUGGUCAAAAUGCUUUCUACCGGUAAGUAGCUCCAGAAGAACAAUUCCAAAACUCCAUACAUUGCUCUUUGGAGUUAGCAUUCCUUUUUUCAAUGUCUCCACUGAAAGGUUUGCUGCCGCCUGUAUACAUGGACAAAAUUAAUGAGAACAAAACUAAAGGGGUGAUCCAUUGCACAAGCCUCCCACCAGGUGAGCACAAGGAAACAACCUUACCCUUACCGAGGUUUCGACUUCGAAUCAGAACAUAACCAUUGGAAUAAAUAUAGAUGUACAAUGUGAAUGUUUUAUGCGAACGCACACAAAAUGCAAUUAUGCAUGAGUCAAAGAACUUACAGUUGAACUGCUUGAAAUCUCUUCCUCAGCAACAUGUCCAACAAAACCAUAUCCUGAUAGCUUUGCAUUGAAAUCUACAUCAAUCUGUAUGUUCACUGCUGAAAAA